rnacentral:rRNA from 1 species
GACGAACGCUGGCGGCGUGCUUAACACAUGCAAGUCGAACGAUGACGACCGAGCUUGCUCGGUCUGAUUAGUGGCGAACGGGUGAGUAACACGUGAGCAACCUGCCCUUCACUCUGUGAUAACCUCGGGAAAUCGGGGCUAAUACCGGAUAUGAGCUCCUGUCGCAUGGCGGGUGUUGGAAAGUUUUUCUGUGAAGGAUGGUCUGUCGGCCAACCACUUUGUUGUUGAGGUAGGGACUCCCCAAGGCGAUGACGGGUAGCCGGCCUGAGAGGGCGACCGGCCACCAUGGGACUGCGACAGGCACCAGAAUGGUAUGUGAGGCAGUAGUGGGGAGCCUUACAGAGUGAGGGAACGCGUGAUGUAGAGGAGCUGGGUUAGGGAUACCGGCUUUUGGGGUAUAAACAUAUUUCAGAAGGGCAGAACAGAACGUGACGGUACCUGCAGAGGAAGCGCCGGCUAACUACGUG